rnacentral:lncRNA from 1 species
UCUGGAUGACCCUCAGGGGAGAGAAGGAGAGAGGGAACUAGUUGAAAGCUGGGGUUUGAGGCUUAGUCAAGGAUGAUCCAGUGAUGGCCAGCUGCUUGCUGAUGUUGAGUUCGUGUGUAGCAGUGUCUGGUGGGAAGAGACCUGUGGCGGAAGGAAGAGUGUUGAUCUAGAUCUGACCUGCUGCGGAGG